rnacentral:rRNA from 1 species
UACGUAUGGUGCAAGCGUUAUCCGGAUUUACUGGGUGUAAAGGGAGCGCAGGCGGCACGGCAAGCCUGAUGUGAAAGCCCGCGGCCCAACCGUGGGACUGCAUUGGGAACUACCGGGCUGGAGUGCCGGAGGGGUAGGCGGAAUUCCUAGUGUAGCGGUGAAAUGCGUAGAUAUUAGGAGGAACACCAGUGGCGAAGGCGGCCUACUGGACGGUGACUGACGCUGAGGCUCGAAAGCGUGGGGAGCAAACAGG